AGACACCACUGAGAUCGUGACACAGGCCAGUGCACUUCAGGAAAUUCAAACUGACAGGAGCCCCUGCCUUCUGCCGUUGCAAAAGUGGCUUGCUGUAGCAAGACGCCAGCUCAGAACCACGGGCUGGCUGCAACUAAAAGUUCUUGACCCUCCCUCCGGAGAAGGGAGUGCCUGGGGGGCUGAAAGCUUUGGCGGGGUUGAGAUAAACACUCAGGUUAAGGCAUUUUUCAUCUGUUUAACCAGAUCUCAUUAUAUUGUCAAACAAGACUGCAGCGCUCACAAGAAACAGCUAUGGUAUUCUUGUUGAGAGGUGGGACGAGAAGGAAGAAUUUAUUUUUUCCACUAAGGUUAAUUCCUCCGAUGCUGGGAGGCCAGGCAAAGUUUUUACUGGGAUGGAAAUGAAGGCUGAAGAGGUGAGCUCUUGGAGUCAUUGAAGGGAAGCCUGAUGGCACUUCAUAUGGCCCUGCCUUGCCAGGUGGGGAAGAAAGAGAACGUUAGUAAUAAUCUUGCCUACAUCCUAGGCAGAGAACUUCCCCCUUUUUCAGGGCACCCACAUAAGUCAUCCCUAAUUGCAUAUUCCCUUGCUAUGUCAACUCUCCUUCGUUGACUCCAGGAAAAUGCCACCUUGCCUUUUUUUUCCUUUUUUUAAAAUAACUUCUCUUACCUUUUCCAAGUUGAGUUAAAUGUAACCAUUGCUUGGUCCUGAUGAUGCUCAAGUUAACUACAUGACCGUGCUACCCAGCCAUGAGUCCAGAUUGUGAAGACCUAGUGAUGAUCCAUGUGAAAAUACUUACAGUUAGUCCUAAAACGUGGUCUCACUGAAACAGACCAUCUGCAUUUUAGAAAAUCCAAAGCAAAUGUCUGUCAUUGCUUUGGAGCACGGAAUGUAAUGCAUCGUCUGUCUGUACCGCAAUUCAUCCAUUCACCUACUGAAGGGUGUCUUCGUUGCUUCCCAAAUCAUCCCCUUGGUUGCUACUCUAAACAUCUGGGCAGGUUGUUUUCAACUCCUUUGGGUAAACACCAAAGAGAACAAUCGCUGGACUGCAUGUGUUCGAGGGGCUCGCUGAUGAAUGUUCUGGAGUAGCCCUGACCCUGCUUAACAUGAGAUGUUCUUGUGAAGUUCCUUAAGGACACCAUGGUCUGCUCAUCUUUCUACUUCCAGAUCUGGAAUAGUUGAGACCAAACACUUCUUCACAAGCUUCCUGUUGCCAUCAGAACCGACACAUCCUGCAGAGGCUUCCGGCUCAUGGAUCAAGCGUGUGCAACAGGGGAGUCAAGUUGCAUUGAAUGCUUCCCAGAGGAGUUCUUUCUUCCUCCCUUUUUCUUCCCUUGCUGGCUUCCUUCUUGUCCCUUAUCUCUGCACCCUUCCCCACUUGCCCCAAAUCCUCAGACUUCCUCUGUAGAUGCCAAGUGAUGAUUUCAGAGACUGUGAGUCCAAGGGCCUCUAUUUGGGCAGGACCCUUAUGGGUCUCCUUCAGCUCUGGAUAAAGCAGGUAUUCUGACCCAGUCACACAGGCAGGAUAAAUCGGUAGGUAAUUAAAGAGCUCCCAAAUCUCCCUUCUGUCCUAUGAAUACUUCCCAUGGGGGAGAGGGAUCUCCAUUUCAUAACCCUCACUCCCUGAGAUCAGGGCAAUGAAGACUGCUGGAGUUCCAAUGCUAAAUGAGAGGAGAUAAACAUUACUCACUGAUACGGCAGUAUGCGUUAGCCUCUCGGCUACCCCUGCCUCCCAGGGGUUCUACAGGUAGGAGAUCCCAAACAUGUGACUUUUACAGGAGCUAAGGAACCUGGAGAGUAGGGAAUAUUACCUGAAGGACAGAAGUGUAUGCCACGGUAGAGAGUCUCUGUUGACAUGGGCUUAGAGCAUCUGAAAAUGGAGGCAAACCGGUUUCCUCUCUCCCUGCUUCCUUCCUCCCUCCCUCCCUCCCUUCCUUCCCUCCCUCCUUCCUUCCU